rnacentral:rRNA from 1 species
UACGAAGGGGGCUAGCGUUGCUCGGAAUCACUGGGCGUAAAGCGCACGUAGGCGGCUUUUUAAGUCAGGGGUGAAAUCCUGGAGCUCAACUCCAGAACUCCCUUUGAUACUGAGAAGCUUGAGUCCGGGAGAGGUGAGUGGAACUGCGAGUGUAGAGGUGAAAUUCGUAGAUAUUCGCAAGAACACCAGUGGCGAAGGCGGCUCACUGGCCCGGUACUGACGCUGAGGUGCGAAAGCGUGGGGAGCAAACAGG